AUCUCAAAAUGGCAGAGCCCGGGCGGAACAAACCCCCUCCUAGAAGUGACUACAUUUCCCAAGAAAAGAUGGCAACAGCGCUACUUGUAACAAUUAUAAGGCUGAGGAGGGUUAUUUGAACACACACCAUUCAAUUAUUAUAAAUGAAAGUCACUUUUUUGAACCGCUCCGGUCUCACCCCAGCAGAAGUAACGCUAGCAACGUCAUCAGAAUACAACAGAUAAACAUGACGAGAGAGAUUCUGCCGCUAGACGAAGGUCACCGAGCAGCGACGAAGUUGGCAUUUUCGUUUCGUAAAUUCACCAAAAUGUCAACGCUUCUGCAACUAGUGGCUCCACGACGAUGACUUCUGUUUUGUUUGAUCUGCCGUUUUACUGCCGCGUGACAGACACCGUUUGGAAACAUCUAAGGAUGACGGCUAAGAUGGAGCCUAUCCCAGCUGACUUUGGGUAAGAGGAAGGAUCGCCUACACCAGGGGUCGGCAACCCAACAUGUUGGAAGAGCCAUAUUGGACCAAAAAUACCACAAAAAAAAUCUGUGUGGAGCCGCAAAAACUGAAAAGUCUUAUACAAGUGUUAUAAUGAAGGCAACACAUGAGGUCCAGGGAGCCACUAGGGCGGCGCGAAAGAGACGCGGGUUGCUGACCCCCGGCCUACACCCUAGACCGGCCGCCAGUUCAUCACAGGACACUCUUUUACUACGAAGCCACGCUGUUGUAACACGUGCAGAAUGUGGCUUGGCGAUGUCUUACUGAAAUAAGCAGCGGCGGCCAUGAAAAAGACGUCGCUUGUAUGGCAGCAUACGUUGCUACAAAACCUGUAUGCACCUUUCAGCAUUAAUGGCGCCUUCACAGAUGUGUAAGUUACCCAUGCCUUGGGCACUAAUACACCCCCAUACAAUUACAGACACUGGGUUUUGAACUUUGCGCCUAGAACAAUCCGGAUGGUUCUUUUCCUCUUUGGUCCGGAGGACACGACGUCCACAGUUUCCAAAAACAAUUUGAAAUGUGGACUCGUCAGACCACAGAACACUUUUCCAGUUUGCAUCAGUCCAUCUUAGAUGAGCUCGGGCCGAGCGAAGCCGGUGGCGUUUCUGGGUGUUGUUGAUAAAUGGCUUUCGCUUUGCAUUGUAGAGUUUUAACUUGCACUUACAGAUGUGGCGACGAACUGUAGUCACUGACAGUGGUUUUCUGAAGUGUUCCUGAGCCCAUGUGGUGAUAUCCUUUACACACUUAUGUCGCUUUUUGAUGCAGUACCAACACAAAUACAACUUUGAAACUACAUGCUUUCUGAGGAGAUUACCGUAGUAACUAGUAUAUCAUGCAAAAGCGCACAUUCCAACCAAUCAGUCCAUCUUAGAUGAGCUCGGGCCGAGCGAAGCCGGUGGCGUUUCUGGGUGUUGUUGAUAAAUGGCUUUCGCUUUGCAUUGUAAAGUUUUAACUUGCACUUACAGAUGUAGCGACGAACUGUAGUUACUGACAGUGGGUUUCUGAAGUGUUCCUGAGCCCAUGUGGUGAUAUCCUUUACACACUAAUGUCGCUUUUUGAUGCAGUACCAACACAAAUACAACUUUGAAACUACAUGCUUUCUGAGGAGAUUACCGUAGUAACUAGUAUAUCAUGCAAAAGCGCACAUUCCAACCAAUCAGUCCAUCUUAGAUGAGCUCGGGCCGAGCGAAGCCGGCGGCGUUUCUGGGUGUUGUUGCAUUUAUCAACAACACCCAGAAACGCAUAAUUUUUUUACAACGAAAAUGAAUUCAUACCAUUUUAGAAUAAGAAUGUAACAUAGCAAAAUGUGGCAAAAAGUGAAGCGCUGUGAAUACUUUCCGGAUGCACUGUACAGUAUAAAGGGCAGAUCAAUGGAAGUGAUAUUUAGACGUUGCAGUUCAUGGGUGGGAUGUGAGAGAGGGUCAGGUCAUUAGCAGUCUCACUGCCUGAGGAUACGGACGAGCUAUUGGCAAGUUGUCCUGGCACGUGUAGACCUAUUCCUUCUACCUGAGGGCCGCAGGUGAGGAGCUGGGUGAUGAUGGUCACGCAGGAUGCUGUGCACUUGCCUCAGACAGCCCAUCUCUGGAAGACUUGAUUUUUUUUUCAGCUGUUUUAAUCACCGACUAGAGAGUCUGCUGUCAUGGCACACUAUAGUCAUACCAAAGACUAUAAAAAUGGGACCCAUUACCUCCCUGCUUGGCACUCAGCAUCAAGGGUUGGAAUUGGGGGUUAAAUCACCAAAAAUGAUUCCCCGGGCGCGGCCACCGCUGCUGCCCACUGCUCCCCUCACCUCCCAGGGGGUGAUCAAGGGUGAAGGGUCAAAUGCAGAGAAUAAUUUCGCCACACCUAGUGUGUGGGUGUGACAAUCAUUGGUACUUUAACUUAUAAAAGGAAGCGGAGUCAUUCGUUGCGGUUUACCUGACACAUGAAACGUGACAAAUACGAUCGCUUAGACCAACGGAUCAGGCCCGUGAACCGCUUUUUUCCGGAUGAUUUUGCUAAGUAUAAAAAUGAGCGGAAAUUUUUGUGUGAAAGUAACUGCCGUUUUUAAAUGUGUCCACUAGAUGUCGCAAUAGCAAUGCUUUGUGUCUUUGUAGAUGACGCUACUUAUGUACAAAAAAAAUAAACCACAUGAUGUUAGUGCACCAGUCGAGGAAAAUGAGCAAACUACAUAAAUUACAUCCUGUAAUUUGAUUUUGAUAUAAUUUUUUUUAUAUUGUUAGAUUGAAAAUGAACACCAAUGAGUUGAGUGAUGAACAUUAUCACGUAAUUUAUUCAGAAAGUAUAGAUAAAGACAAAUAAAGGAAGAAUACUAUUAAACGCAAUAUGUAAGUGUAAAAAAAAGAACAUUAUGAUUUGUACAUUUUUGAGAAUGUGCUUGUUCUAUUUUUAAACAAAGAGAACAAUCUGAAGUUGUCUUUAUUUUUAAGUUAUUGUGCCGUGAUUUUACCAUCCCACUUGGGAGUAGAUUUCUCUCCAUGUGGCCCCCAGAUCUAAAAUGAGUUUGACACCCCUGGCCUAGAUAAAUUAGUAAACAUCCUCACAAAUAUUGAUAUAAAGCAUUACCGUAUUUCCCGGACCAUAAGGCGCACCGGAUUAUAAGGCGCACUGCCGAUGAAUGGUCUAUUUUUGAUGUUUUUUUUCAUAUAUAAGGCACACCGGAUUAUAAGGCGCAUUAAAGGAGUCUUUUUUUUUUUUCUAAAUGUAAAACACUUCCUUGUGGUCUACAUCAGUGGUCCCCAACCACCGGGCCGCGGACCGAUUGGUACCGGGCCGUGCAAGAAAUUUAAAAAAAAUUUUUUUUAAAAAAAGAAUUUUUAUUUUUUUAUUAAAUCAACAUAAAAAACACAAUAUAUACAUUAUAAAUCAAUAUAGAUCAAUACAGUCCGCAGGGAUACAGUACGUAAGCACACAUGA